AGAGCGAACGCUGGCGGCAGGCCUAACACAUGCAAGUCGAGCGCCCGUAGCAAUACGGGAGCGGCAGACGGGAUAGUAACACGUGGGAACGCGCCCUUCGGUUCGGAAUAACUCAGGGAAACUUGAGCUAAUACCGAAUACGCCCUUACGGGGAAAGAUUUAUUGCCGAAGGAACGGCCCGCGUCCGAUCAGCUAGUUGGUGAGGUAAUGGCUCACCAAGGCUACGAUCGGUAGCUGGUCUGAGAGGAUGACCAGCAUCACUGGGACUGAGACACGGCCCAGACUCCUACGGGAGGCAGCAGUGGGGAAUAUUGGACAAUGGGCGCAAGCCUGAUCCAGCCAUGCCGCGUGGAUGAUGAAGGCCUUAGGGUUGUAAAGUCCUUUAACGGGGAAGAUAAUGACGGUACCGUAGAAUAAGCCCGGCUAACUUCGUGCCAGCAGCCGC
rnacentral:rRNA from 1 species